CGGGACACGUGGUAUCCUGUCUGAAUAUGGGGGGACCAUCCUCCAAGGCUAAAUACUCCUGACUGACCGAUAGUGAACCAGUACCGUGAGGGAAAGGCGAAAAGAACCCCGGCGAGGGGAGUGAAAAAGAACCUGAAACCGUGUACGUACAAGCAGUGGGAGCCUCUUAAUGGGGUGACUGCGUACCUUUUGUAUAAUGGGUCAGCGACUUAUAUUCUGUAGCAAGGUUAACCGAAUAGGGGAGCCGAAGGGAAACCGAGUCUUAACUGGGCGUUAAGUUGCAGGGUAUAGACCCGAAACCCGGUGAUCUAGCCAUGGGCAGGUUGAAGGUUGGGUAACACUAACUGGAGGACCGAACCGACUAAUGUUGAAAAAUUAGCGGAUGACUUGUGGCUGGGGGUGAAAGGCCAAUCAAACCGGGAGAUAGCUGGUUCUCCCCGAAAGCUAUUUAGGUAGCGCCUCGUGAAUUCAUCUCCGGGGGUAGAGCACUGUUUCGGCAAGGGGGUCAUCCCGACUUACCAACCCGAUGCAAACUGCGAAUACCGGAGAAUGUUAUCACGGGAGACACACGGCGGGUGCUAACGUCCGUCGUGAAGAGGGAAACAACCCAGACCGCCAGCUAAGGUCCCAAAGUCAUGGUUAAGUGGGAAACGAUGUGGGAAGG
rnacentral:rRNA from 1 species